rnacentral:hammerhead_ribozyme from 1 species
GCACUGCUGAUGAGUCCCAAAUAGGACGAAACAGCUGCCCAGUGC